rnacentral:rRNA from 1 species
GACGAACGCUGGCGGCGUGCUUAACACAUGCAAGUCGAACGGAAAGGCCCUGCUUUUGUGGGGUGCUCGAGUGGCGAACGGGUGAGUAACACGUGAGUAACCUGCCCUUGACUUUGGGAUAACUUCAGGAAACUGGGGCUAAUACCGGAUAGGAGCUCCUGCUGCAUGGUGGGGGUUGGAAAGUUUCGGCGGUUGGGGAUGGACUCGCGGCUUAUCAGCUUGUUGGUGGGGUAGUGGCUUACCAAGGCUUUGACGGGUAGCCGGCCUGGGGGGGUGACCGGCCACAUUGGGACUGGGAUACGGCCCAGACUCCUACGGGAGGCAGCGGUGGGGAUUAUUGCACAAUGGGCGGAAGCCUGAUGCAGCAACGCCGCGUGCGGGAUGACGGCCUUCGGGUUGUAAACCGCUUUCGCCUGUGACGAAGCGUGAGUGACGGUAAUGGGGAAAGAAGCACCGGCUAACUACGU